GCGGCGUGCUUAACACAUGCAAGUCGAACGAUGAACCUCCUUCGGGAGGGGAUUAGUGGCGAACGGGUGAGUAACACGUGGGCAAUCUGCCCUUCACUCUGGGACAAGCCCUGGAAACGGGGUCUAAUACCGGAUACGACCACCGACCGCAUGGUCUGGUGGUGGAAAGCUCCGGCGGUGAAGGAUGAGCCCGCGGCCUAUCAGCUUGUUGGUGGGGUAAUGGCCUACCAAGGCGACGACGGGUAGCCGGCCUGAGAGGGCGACCGGCCACACUGGGACUGAGACACGGCCCAGACUCCUACGGGAGGCAGCAGUGGGGAAUAUUGCACAAUGUGCGAAAGCCUCAUGCAGCGACGCCGCGUGAGGGAUGACGGCCUUCGGGUUGUAAACCUCUUUCAGCAGGGAAGAAGCGAGAGUGACGGUACCUGCAGAAGAAGCGCCGGCUAACUACGUGCCAGCAGCCGCGGUAAUACGUAGGGCGCAAGCGUUGUCCGGAAUUAUUGGGCGUAAAGAGCUCGUAGGCGGCUUGUCACGUCGGAUGUGAAAGCCCGGGGCUUAACCCCGGGUCUGCAUUCGAUACGGGCAGGCUAGAGUUCGGUAGGGGAGAUCGGAAUUCCUGGUGUAGCGGUGAAAUGCGCAGAUAUCAGGAGGAACACCGGUGGCGAAGGCGGAUCUCUGGGCCGAUACUGACGCUGAGGAGCGAAAGCGUGGGG
rnacentral:rRNA from 1 species